rnacentral:tRNA from 5 species
GCGGGAGUAGCUCAGUUGGUAGAGCGCAACCUUGCCAAGGUUGAGGUCGCGGGUUCGAGACCCGUCUCCCGCUCCA